rnacentral:misc_RNA from 1 species
AAGGACUACUGGGGUUUCUAAUCCUGUUUGCUCCCCACGCUUUCGUGCCUCAGUGUCAGUGAUGGUCCAGAGAGCCGCCUUCGCAACUGAUGUUCCUCCCGAUCUCUACGCAUUUCACUGCUACACCGGGAAUUCCACUCUCCUCUACCUCACUCUAGCUUGCCAGUAUCCAUCGCCAUUCCCAGGUUGAGCCCGGGGAUUUCACGACAGACUUAACAAACCACCUACGCACGCUUUACGCCCAGUAAUUCCGAGUAACGCUUGCACCCUUCGUAUUACCGCGGCUGCUGGCACC